AUUCGUUUUAUCUUCAAGUCAAGUAUAUACGCUGUUCUACUGUAAACCUUUAACAAGUAUAGAUAUAUAACCAUCUAAUAUUAACCAAUUAUUGUAGAUAGAGACGGCCGGAAUUCAGUGUACAACAGUAACGAUAUAGCCAUCUACCGGCAACAUCAUCCAGGCAAGCGAGUCAGAUCGAUGGCCUUCCAGAGCGCACCACACGAAUGGAAUAGAAUUAUCUUGUCGCUACUUAAUUUCACGACAUUAAUACUUUUAUAACCCGAAAUCGUUUUGUUCUACCAAAUACGAUUUACUACAAAACGGUUUUGGCAUAAUACAGGAUGGCGACAUACCUAACGAUUUGGAAUCCACCGUAGACGCAAUUCACAGAAUGAUUACAGGCGUGGAAGACGAUGACAGUGGAUUGGAUGCAAACACUUCAUCCAUAAAUGUGAUCGACAAAAUUUUCCAAAUUAACUUAUUAAGCGAUGUCGUGGACGGUUCAUUGUUAAUAGAAAAGUCGGGGGAAAAUGUUGGUGAUCUGUCAGUUGGUCCUGAUCCGCACGCAGUGGUUACAAACGUAAGUGUCAAUCCGCUUCCCCGUAGAAAGCGUUUCGCAUCUACGUGGAAGCGGAUUAAACGCUCUGUUCUACGUUUGUACUGCUGCGUGCGUUGAGUUUAUUUCUGUUACAUGUUCCAAGCCUUGUAGGCAAGCUUUUUUGAUUUAUCCCGUUUAGCCCAUAUGGCAAAUCUUUUUUAU